GGAGAGUUACCCCGAAGCUGUCUUCCUGUCGAUGUUGUUUCCAGUUGUGUCCUGUGUCACUGAACAUCAACAGCAAAGUUCAAAAGUUUGCAGCAGUAACCAUCAGGGAGCAGGCAGGAGGCGACAUCAGAUGAGCAGAGAAUCCGAUACAUGGAGAACACACCAAGGGAGCCAACACACCUGUGAGGAGCCGGCUGCAGGUUGGUUGGAACUGGCGUGGAUCCCAUGGCACACACACAAAUGCAGAAUGUGCAGCCACGUGGCAAGGAAGGUAAUUGAGGUUAAAAACAGGCCAGGAACAUUGCAUCGCCACUCUAUUGGACAGUCAAAUUAGCACAUCACCACAAUGAACCAAGCGGUCAGGAGAUCAUGACUUUUGGGGCCAACCACAUCAGAAGGCCAACUGACCAAGCACCCUCUAGAGCAGCGGCGGUCAGAGGUUGGAGAAGAGGGCUGGAAAAGUGUGUGUGAACAAUGCUCCUUUCCACAGGAUUAUCCAUGGGGCUGUCCCAUUUUUCCACAGUUGGCUGAGUGCGGAUGGUUACGCGCACACUGGUGACGUUUUGCCACGCAGAACGUACAUUUGCCUGUAGUGUUCAAGCAUGUAUUAAGUGGCCAAGUACGUGGGGAUAUUAAAUGAAAUUGGGACAGACUUGACAACGCCCCUUUCAUUGCGCAUUGGAUGUUAUUCUCCGCAAACAAAAACAUUAUCCAAACAUGAUUCAGUUCAGAAAAGGGUGUAAAGAAAUAAUUUUCAUAUAGGGAUGAAAAAAUGUGUGGAUAAUCAGCAGGAAUCUGCAGCUGUGAUUUAUGUUGAGCUGAUGUAUGUAUGUAUAUGGAUAUAUGAAUAUAUUUUCAUGUUGGUACAUGAACAAUUCAUGAUAUUUCUAUUACAUGCAUUUAAGAAAGUCAGUUAAUAUGCUGGUAUAUAUAACACUACGUUGGAUAUCUAAAGGAAAGUUAAAGGUUAUUAAAUAGUGAAUAAAAGGGGAAGGAUUAAGUAAGUUAACUACUGUUUUAUAAUAUUUGUCAUGUUGGAAAUAAAGACAUCAAUCAAAAGAAAUGACGGAGCAAACUACUCACCUGUAUCCAUCAGCUGCAGUAUUUUUAGCUGUUUGUUGGAACGUUUGUUCCGUGGUCCCUAUUUCAGAUAAAUUCUGUGGUUAGUAAAUAAUUCCAGGGCAAAGCUUGAUGUGAAUUUCCGCACCACAGACACAUUUACAAAGCUUCCUAACAUGUACCAUCAUGACGCUAUGAU